UCCAUGGAAAAAUAAUGAACGUUGGGAAGGCAGCCUUAAUAGGACCGUACAACAAUUGUUCAAAGAAAGGGUAUAUUUUGCCAAAUUUCCUUAGUAGUUAGUAUUUUUCAAAAUUUCGGUCAUCAUCUUUGGAGUUGGAUUUUAAAUUUUGACUACUGACCAUUCCUUUCACCAAUCAAAACCAAAGAGUUGGAAUGAGAAGAACGAUUUUUUAGGGCUAAAGUUAAAAUAUCAUCUGUUAAUUGGGUAUUUAAAAUUUAGUGGGUUAAUCAAUGUAUAUGGAAGGGCAAGAGCACAGUGAAGAGAUAAUUGUGUUUUCAUAUGAAGGAGGAUGCUGGUAUUAUUUAGAAUUUAUAGCUUUGUUAAUUGAUUUGUCACAGAAUUGUUGGUGGCGGUGAUCCUCACAACAAUAUAAAUUAAAAUUAACUCUUCUUUUCACCUUUUCGCUAAUAUUGCUGCUGCUGAUAAUAGAAUGUAAUGGCGGGAGAAGAUGAAGAAUAUGAAGAUGAGAUUCUUGAAGAGCAUCAAGGCAAUCCUUCAACUUCUAACACCCAAAAUUCUAUGAAUGCCAUAGAGGAAGUGCAGAAUUACAUAAAAGAUCAAGGCAAUUCUUCAAAUUCUAACACCCAAUGACCCAAGUAAGCCAAAUUUCAUUCUAUGAAUCUGCAGACACCAUUCAUAAAUAUAUACUUUUUGUUUCUUUUAACUCAAAUGGUCCACCUUUUCUUCAUUACUUGAGUAGGUGUAUGGUGCCGCCUAACUAGUUCAUGAUAUAUUGCAGAAGACAUUGUUUUAAAAUUUAUCUUCAUUUGAAAUCAGAUGGCUUUGAUUUCAUUCAUUAUGAUAUUAUUCUUCAAAGUGUAACAAAAGUAAAUUUUGAAUAUUUCUCCUUUUCACCUUCACUAUUAUUGUUUUUUAUCCAGUCAGUGUAGUAAAAAAUUCUAAAGAGGAUCACCUAAUCCUUCAACCGCCAUGAAACGAAGUGAAAAUUCUUUAUAUGCAUCUUGAGACAGUCUAGUUUUUGUUCAUCUAAUGCAACUGGUUUUUAUGUCCUUUGAAGGUGCUUUCUUCAUCACAAAUUCGGAAGUACAAAUUCUUAUUCCUUAAACAUUGUAUGUUCCAUUUGAUCAUCCAGUAAAUGGUCACAACUUCUUUCUUUAGGCUUUUAUGUUUAGCUAAUUAUAGCUUACCGUACAUUAAUUUGAUCAACCUUUGAAGUGAUAGCAUAUGUACCAGGUACUUCUGUUUUUUUAAUGAUUUGGGUAUUGUGAAGUUAAGGAGGAUAACAUUCUGAAGUCAGGGAACAAGGAAAAUUUUCUUGAAGUAUCAAAAUGACAAGAUUUUUGAAGUUGAGGAUUACAUACUUAUUUUGAACUAGAGGAUGAGGAAACUUUUGAAAUGAUGAAUUUCAAGGAUUGCAAAGCUGAGGAUAUAAAGAAUUUUCCAAAGAAGAUCAACGAAACCCUUGUUUAAUUCUUCAUUUUUUAAUAAUGUAGUGAUUUUGCAACAUAGACCCAAUACCAAAUUCUGGAGGAUGGCUGUCACAUGGUCUGCACUGUGCCUACAACAGCUCAUGGAGGGGCAGUUUAUCCAUCCUGUUUAGAACAUGUUCCAUUUUACUCACAACCUUGUGCUGAAUUCCGUUCUGCCUCAGGUUAUUUCUGGUGGCCCUACUAUUUUGGUGGCACUAUUCAGAAGUAUGAUUAAUUUGAUAUUUUCAUAGUAAACAAGGUUGGUCAUGUUGGAGUAAAUAAUUCCUGUAUGAAAUGUAAGAUUGAAAUAUUUUUUAUCAUCAAUGUAGCGGUACACUGGUAGGGGAAAUUAGGUAGCGCAAAUGCCCCUCACAGUUUUCUCAUACGGUGAGGGCUUAAGGCCAAUCAAUCCCAAGGAUAUUGAGUGGAAGAAUGGCAAGAAUCCAAUCUCCAUGGAAGGUGUCCUAAUAUUUCCCUCAUGUCAAGUUAAGAAGCUGGUCCUUGUCGAACUUCUGCAAGGCUUACCGAUUUCAUUCUGUUGAUUGAAAAUACAUACAAAUUGAACACCUGUAGCAACGAUCUUGGUCAUUAGAAAUACACUAUUGAUCAAAGAGUUUCAAAAGCUGAUAGUUUAUAAGUAAUACAAACUUUA